UGUAAUCUGUUCCACAGUGCACUGCUCUUCUAGUGCUCCGUGGCUAGAGGUUUUAUUUUUAGGCAGCAAAUGUCAUUUAUUCAUGUUCAAGUCCUGCAGGGAAAAUGAGAGACUCUAUUUGCUCAGCUGGAGGGGCACGGGUGGGCUGUGCUGCUCCUGUGUAGACCAGCCAUGGAGUAACAGAGCACUGAAGAACCUCUCUUAGCUUUGUACCACAGCUAUAGUUUUGAUCGUGUGCAUAAAUAUUCUGCAGAGUGUUUGCCUUAAUUUAGACAUUUUGAUUGAUACUUUGAACUGACAAAGAACAGAUCAAUGCAAAUCAGGACAAAAGCUUGUGGGACUACUUAAGGAGAAUAUCCUUGAAGGUAACGGAGAUUACAGGUAAAUACUUCAAAGGAAUUAAGGCAUUAUCCUCAAAGAAGCUGACAAGACCAGCUGCCCAGCUGAACUGCCUUUAUGCCAACAUAUGCAGCUUGGGAAACAAACAGGAAGAGUUGGAAACCACUGUGCCACUGGAAAACCAUGAUGUAGUUGUCACCACUGAGACCUGGAUGCUUCAAAAUAAUCUUACAAAAUAAUAUCUCGCUGUGGGUGCAGAAGUAAGGAACUGAUACCUUGCAACUGUCAAGCUGUUACUUCAUUCUCAUUUUUUUUCGAGUCUUGCUUUUGAGGAGUGAUUUUUGAGAUCUCUGCGGUCUUGGGCGCCACUUUGGUCUGUGACCCGCUGAUGUGCUUGGGAUGUUAUUUUCAGACGUCUUUCAGUUGCAUUUUAACCUUGGAAUUUACAGUGCUCCAUAAUUUAAUGUAUCCUAUGUUGACUGGAUUGAUAGAGACUGUAAAAUAGCAUUUUGAAGUUAUAAGAUGGUUGAUUGUUGACCAUAUAUACUAUUUGUAGCAGUUGUCACUGGACAGUGUGGAACUUGCCUUUUCAGAUGUGACCUGGAAAAUGAGUCAUUUCUGGCAUGAGCACAAAGGCUGAGUUACUGGGAUCAUUCACAGUGACAUAGGUUGAACUUUAGAACUUCAGAAACCGUCUUGGAAGAGGUUAAAUGAUGCCAUGAGAAAUACUGGCCAGCAUACAGCCUUUCUAAAAGCUCUGCUUUCUUUAGCCAUGAACUCAUUUGCUUUGUAGCUUUCUGUUCACCUUUAGUGUCUGAUUUCGUAGUCAGUAAAGUUCAACAGCAGAACUCAGACCUCAUCCUUUGUGCCACUCAUACUUCAAAAGGACAUGAAAUAGCUUUUACAUCUCCACCUCCCUACUAAAAUCUCUCCUACCUUUUGGUUUCUUGCAUUAGAAGGGAAGGAAUGUACCUGAAACGGUCAGUUUUUUCUUCUUUUCGUAUUGUUUGAUGCAUGAUGAGCUUGGCUAUCUGAUCUCAUUGUGUUACUGAAUAUGGCUUCAUUAGCCACAAAAAGUGCUAUCUACAAGGAAGAAAAUAUGCCCUCUGCUGAAUUCAUCUGUGGCUAGAAUUUAAAAAGCUGCUGUCAGAGUACCACGAUGGAACUAUUGUUUGCAAAUAAAGCAAAUUAAAAUAAACAUCUUUUAUCAUAAGAAAGCAAUUAGUGUUGAUUCGCAGCUUCGCUUGGUUUUUCUUUCCUGACCUUGACUAUAUCGUGAUGGUUUUGUGCUUCCUCGGACAGCUUCUACUUGCAUCUGCAUCGAUUAAACCUUGAUCUCAUUUAUUAUCUCAGGAAAUGGUCUCAAGGUCACAGGGCUGGAAAUUUAAUUAUGGUGGCAGUAUAUUAAGUGGCACAUUUAAAGAUGCUGAAUCGCAGUAAUUAAUUUUUUGGAUGGUGGUCUCUAGGGAACAGGUUUUCUCCACACUGGGUGUUUAGACAUCCAUCACGGCCAUUCAGCUUGGCAGCUGUCUUUUAGCUUUAAACUGUGUCAUUAUUCAUCUUUUAUGGCUGACUUUAAAAACACUAGACAACUAUAUUCUUUUUUAUUGUAAUAUAUGUCAGAUGCUUGUAUUAAGCUAUACUUCACCUUUGCUAUAAAACAUUAACAGAGGUUGCUAGUAGUUACCUGGCUGGCCUCUAAAUUGAGAUAACAAUUACCCUUCGCUGACAUCUAGUGUCAAGGCAUGAGAUAUAGCUGGAGUGCUGAAUCCAUUGGCCUGGAAAUCCUGCACUUCCCCAGUGAUUCAAGCUCACCCAAGAAGCUACAGCACUGGACAUAAUUAGUGGACACGAGGGAUUAAGUUGGCACUCAGUGUUGACUUUGUAGCAGCACUAGGUUAUUGAAUGAAGUGCAGCACUGCCAAGGUCUUAAAAAUCUUGUAAUGUUUAAUGAAGGAAUGGUCAUUAAACUUGCUGGAUCAAAUAUUAGGCAAGAUGGAACUGGGAGGUAUUUAAUAAGGAGGUCUGAAAAUAUGAACUAAAUCACAUUCACUCAUUUAAAAAGCUGGCAAAAGUCCAGUAUAUUUCAAAAUUUUUCACUGCUGGUUUUAGGUAGGUAGUAUUGAACUGGGGAGGGAGAAUAGUAAGCAGGUUUUAGCUUCUAGUGUAACUUCACUGAAAGUUUUUCUACUAUAGAAUUAUUUUUCUUGGUUGAAAUAAAGUUUACGUGCUGCUGAGAUUGCAAAUAAAUGUUCUCUAGGGACUGUGAAGGUGCUAAAGUUCUCAUUGUGAGCAAUAUUCACAGAUUUAUGUGAGGUCUUUCACACCCUUUGUCAAAUUCAAUAUUUCAGGUCUCUGAGUGACCUAGUCUACCCACGUGUUAUUAAAGUUAAAUGAAUUGCAUGUACUAUAUGGCUACGCAUGUAGCCAACCAAAGCAGAGCAAAUCAGGGCUAGCUACACCUGUAAGAACAGGAUAGUCCAAAUGUUUGUUUGUUUUUUUCACAUUUUCACUGGAUUUUGUGAAGAAAAGUAUAUCACAGUAUAAAAAAUCAGAGGUAAAUGCAGAAUUUGAGGGAGGGUUAUAUUUGGACCUUAAUACAUAAAUACCCAAAAAUGUAAUGAGAGUAUAUCAAGCUUGUGUUUUCUUACUUGUUGUAUGUUAUUAUAAAUAAUGUAUGUGAGUGUUCACAGUGGAAUGGGGAGUAGCCAUAUAAAGAGUUCAAAUUUUGGAACAUGAGCAGAAGAGAGAACAUAGCUUACAUUACCACUGCCUGAAGAGUGAUGGACGUAUAAUAAAUAAUCCAUAGGUUAAGAUAAGUUUGUGCUAGUGAUUAGGCAAGCAGCUGUGCACAAUAAGUAGAUAAACAGAUUACAAUUAAUGUAUUACAUUAAUGUUAAUUUCAGAGAAGGCUAAUGGUACCAUACUAAGUAUUCAUCAGAAAUGCUUCUUUAGCUGUAGUCACGAUGUAUGUUGUAUCCUUAUUAUCUCAUUGUCAGAUUAAGUCACUGACAUUUUUGCUGAAACCAGGAGAGCAAAUCUUCCUGCAGUUCAGGUGAAAUGAUGUACUGUGUGGAAAAUUAGCAAAAUUAGGCUGUUUCAUGUCUUUUUACGUCAAGAAGCUCAAUCAAAAAUGCUUAAAAGUUCAUAUCUGGAGGCAAUUUUAUUUAGAGAUUCUACAGUAGAAGGACUGCAGAGAUAGAAAAUGGUUGCGCUUUACCUCCUUUAUGUAACAGACCAGCAUAUGCAUGGUCUGUCAGAGUUUUUCCUUCUGGGAGUUCAGAUUUAUAAAACCAUGCAUGAGAGGUUUGGAUCCAAGUUCUACCUCAUCAGAAUCUUCAAAUGAUUUAUUAUGGCAUUUUUCCCCAUUUUGAACCAUCUCUUGUUAGUGUUAAACACUGCUGUUCUUCUAAUGACUUCUUGCAAAUGUAAAAUCUUGAGCAAAAGUUUCCUGAAAACGUUAUUUAAAAUAGCUAUUUGGGUUACUUGCUUCAUUUUUCUUUUCCUAGUUUGGAAUGUCACAUUUUCAGUCUGUAUCAGCGUAAGUUUCUUUCAUAUGAGGUAUGCAAAAACUGCAUUUGUGCUUAUGAGAACUAGCUUUCAAAACUGUUUCACUACAUACUCAUAUGACUGAUAUCCUCAUAACCAUCCAGCCUGAACUACUCUCAACUUUCCUAAAUGAGAUUUUAUUGGAACUGAUUAUGAUUAGAUAAAUGGGUGACUUCACUAAUGCAUAAUACACUUUUCAAUUAUAGAGUAUGUAUGAUAAUUUACAUUUCUUGUUUGAUAGCGUGAUAUUUAUGUGACAUUCUGCAUGAGACCUGCUGCUGUUCAUAUAAUGGUCUUCUCUUGAAAGAAAACGACUUUUAAAUUCUUUCAAUAUAUUUAAUAUUUUAUUAAAAAAUAGAUGUUAAAAUCCACCUUAAUUUAUCCUUCAGUGGAAUGAAACCUGCCAGUGGCUAAAUUCUAGUCCUGGAAUUUGUUGCCUUAGGAUCCAGAUUCCGUCAUCAGCCUAACAGAUGCACGUAACGUAGACUGGAAUAGCAAGAUUUAACAAGAUUUGUCUGAAAAAUCAUUGAGAGUCAUAUGACUGUAGGAUAGCUCAGGCUGCUGCUGGAAUGACCCUCUGGACCUCUGUAGUGUAGUCACCUGAUCAGAAUAGACUCAUUUGUGAGAUCAGACCAGGUUACUCAGAGCUUUUUCCAGUUGUGUCUUGAAAAUGCAUAAGGACUUUCCCAUAUCUUCUUUUCACACUUUCUUUACACACGCACGCUGUGUUUGUGCUAUUUCUCUUUUUUUUUUUAAACCUCAGAUAUUUUAUCUGUAG
ensembl:lncRNA